CCCUCCCUCUCCCUCCCUCCGAGCCCAGACCCAGAGACCCCGGGGCCCAGACGGACUCCAGUGACAGACGCCGACAGACGGACAGACACGCGCUGACAGACACGACCGCAAGAGCCUCAGCGGCGGAGCAGACACCCACAGGGACAGGCAGAGGGACAGAAGAAGCCCGCGGAGACAGACACGUGUGGACGGCCUCCUGCAGUGACAGCCGGAGACAAACGCAGUGACCGACACUCACGGACGGACGGACGGACACACUUGGACAAGUCGGGGCUGGGGGCCGAAUAAAUGAGCAUCCCUGGCCACGACAGCGCAGGGGUGGCGGGAGGACCAGCAUGCGAAAACUUGGCUGACGACCCUCUAAGGGGGCCGGGUAACACUAGUGCAGGAAAGGUGACACCUGUGGGAAUGAGGCUGUGAACAGAUCAGAACGCGAUAGGAAGUGGACCCCUGAAGAGGGAGGAGACCCCUCGCGGGAGGGAGAGGUGACCCCGGGACGCCCGACAAGGAAGGCCAAUGUGGUGGCAACGCGAAGAGGCUGCGGGGCGAGGCAGCAUUCCGCCGCCGCCGCCGCCGCAGUGGAAACUUCCGGAACCCCCGCGGGUGGGUUCGCGCCGGUUCCCUGACGGGUGACCUCGGACUUUCGUCACGAGGGUCCGCUCGGGGCAUGACAUCACCAGGCCAGGCUCUCAUUGGUCGCCGCGGCCGGCAGGUGGGAGCGGCCUGGCCCGGGCGCCCCUAGCCGGGUCGGAGGGGCUUGAGCCGCACAGACCACCCGCCCCCCUCCCCCCCAGCCAGGUCCCGCCCUAUAGGGAGUCACCCAAGGGGACUGUGCGGCCACGGCGGCGUCCCCGCGCCCGAGGUGAGGUGGAAAAAGUGGGCAGCGGUGUGCUCACGCGAGCGCGCCGCACGUAAGCCCCUUCCUCUCCUGGGGCCGCCGGCUCGGGAGCCCGCUCACUGCGUGGGAGAACGGCCGACGCGGGCGAGCUUCGGGGUCCUGGUUUCAAACAGGCUCCAGCCAACCCUGAUGAUGGCUUUGGUUUAAAUGUUAGCAACGCAUCUUGGCUGACUCCUUGGGAACAGCUGGCGAGGUUGAACGAAGUACCAUCUAUGUCUGACACCCAGGGAGCUCCUGUAAGUAUUCCCAGCUGCUCCUGGCUGCCUGCAGGUAUUAGCCAGCCAGUGAGAGUCAGCCCAAAGCAGAGGUUUCUUGAAUGAACCUGGCUAUGGUCCACCGACACUGAGCAUUGGACCCAAGAGUGGUGCAGAGGACAACAGGGCCUGCUGGGG
rnacentral:lncRNA from 1 species